rnacentral:sRNA from 1 species
UUAAGUAUUUGUGAUAAUACUUACGCAUGUCUUUCUUUAUGGUGCAGGUAAAGAUAAAGUGUGAUCGUGAAAUCAUGGCAAUGAAGA